rnacentral:rRNA from 1 species
UACGAAGGGUGCAAGCGUUGUUCGGAAUUACUGGGCGUAAAGCGCGCGUAGGCGGCUUGAUAAGUUGGGAGUGAAAUCCCGGGGCUUAACUCCGGAAUUGCUUUCAAAACUAUUAAGCUAGAGUAUGGCAGGGGACAGUGGAAUUCCUAGUGUAGAGGUGAAAUUCGUAGAUAUUAGGAGGAACACCAGUGGCGAAAGCGACUGUCUGGACCAUUACUGACGCUGAGGUGCGAAAGCGUGGGGAGCAAACAGG